GGGAAUCUUCGGCAAUGGGCGAAAGCCUGACCGAGCAACGCCGCGUGAAUGAAGAAGGCCUUCGGGUUGUAAAAUUCUGUUAUAAGGGAAGAAAGGUGAUAGGAGGAAAUGGCUAUCAAUUGACGGUACCUUAUGAGAAAGCCACGGCUAACUACGUCCCAGCAGCCGCGGUAAUACGUAGGUGGCAAGCGUUAUCCGGAAUUAUUGGGCGUAAAGCGAGCGCAGGCGGUUUCUUAAGUCUGAUGUGAAAGCCCCCGGCUCAACCGGGGAGGGUCAUUGGAAACUGGGAGACUUGAGUGCAGAAGAGGAGAGUGGAAUUCCAUGUGUAGCGGUGAAAUGCGUAGAUAUAUGGAGGAACACCAGUGGCGAAGGCGGCUCUCUGGUCUGCAACUGACACUGAGGCGCGAAAGCGUGGGGAGCA
rnacentral:rRNA from 1 species